CUACGGGAGGCUCCAGUGAGGAAUUUUGCGCAAUGGGGGAAACCCUGACGCAGCGACGCCGCGUGGAUGAUGAAGGCCUUAGGGUCGUAAAAUCCUGUCAGGUGGGAAGAAGUGGAUAUAGAUUAAUACUCUAUUUCUUUGACGGUACCACCAAAGGAAGCACCGGCUAACUCCGUGCCAGCAGCCGCGGUAAUACGGAGGGUGCAAACGUUGUUCGGAAUUACUGGGCGUAAAGCGCGCGUAGGCGGUUUGUUAAGUCAGAUGUGAAAGUCCAGGGCUCAACUAUGGAAGUGCAUGUGAAACUGGCAGACUUGAGUACUGGAGGGGGUGAUGGAAUUCCCGGUGUAGAGGUGAAAUUCGUAGAUAUCGGGAGGAAUACCGGUGGCGAAGGCGAUCACCUGGCCAGAUACUGACGCUGAGGUGCGAAAGCGUGGGGAGCAAACAGGAUUAGAUACCCUAGUAGUC
rnacentral:rRNA from 1 species